UACGUAGGGUGCGAGCGUUAAUCGGAAUUACUGGGCGUAAAGCGUGCGCAGGCGGUUCGUUGUGUCGGCGGUGAAAGCCCCGGGCUUAACCUGGGAAUGGCCGUCGAAACUGGCGAACUGGAGUGUGGCAGAGGGGGGUGGAAUUCCGCGUGUAGCAGUGAAAUGCGUAGAGAUGCGGAGGAACACCGAUGGCGAAGGCAGCCCCCUGGGCUGACACUGACGCUCAGGCACGAAGCGUGGGGAGCAAACAGG
rnacentral:rRNA from 1 species